rnacentral:lncRNA from 1 species
GUGUCCAGCUCCUUUACACUCAAAACAACUCCCUUAGGUACUUAGUCAUUCAGCAAACCAUCCCCACAGACUUAAGUAACCCUUGAGAGUCUUCAAACAGCUAAGGAUAUGCAUUUGGCCCUUCCCGGCUCAUGCAUCAUCCAACAUCCUUUUGCCUUAUCAGCUUGUGAUACCAAGUCCAGCUCAUGGACUACAAAUGCCCAUCAGAUCCUAAGUCAAUCAACCAACCACCCCACAUGACUCAGAACUGAUGAGUCUUCACAAUUACCCAACCGGCCAUGGAACCAUGUCCCAAUGGAGCCGAUCAAUCCUGCUCUAAUAUCCGGUGCAUCCUUUGAUCAAUCAGAGCAGACACCUUAUUCCAUCACCAAUGGAUCAGGUCAUCCAUCCUUGUCCAAGAUCAGAUAACACACGACCUUUCUUAAAUAGAAACACCAAAGCUCAGUACUUAUGGUCCAUGCCACCAAGUACUAGUUAUACU